UUAGGGUGACGAUCGACUUGGUUGAGAUGGUUUUCGCUAAGGGAGAUCCUGGAAUAGCUGCUCUGUAUGACAAAUUGCUGGUGUCUGAAGAACUGCAGUCAUUUGGGGAACGACUCAGAGCCAACUACGAGGAAACCAAACAGUUGCUUCUUCAGGUUGCUGGUCAUAAAGAUGUUCUUGAAGGGGAUCCUUAUCUGAAACAGAGGCUUCGUCUGCGUGAUCCUUACAUCACGACUCUAAAUGUUCAUCAAGCUUACACUCUGAAGCAGAUCAGGGACCCAAGCUAUAAUGUGAAGGUG
rnacentral:misc_RNA from 1 species